ACGUCUUCCAUGCAAGCGCAGCGUGGAACAUACAGUAUUAAAUGGCUCCACAAAUGCAGUUCUGAUUGAAACUAGCCCACCUCACUUCAACCCUCACGGGAAAGAAGAAAGGAAGGAAAGAAAAUACGGGAAAGCUGCUGAUGGUGUGUUUGACAGAGC